rnacentral:rRNA from 1 species
CCUACGGGUGGCAGCAGUCGAGAAUCAUUCACAAUGGGGGAAACCCUGAUGGUGCGACGCCGCGUGGGGGAAUGAAGGUCUUCGGAUUGUAAACCCCUGUCAUGUGGGAGCAAAUUAAAAAGAUAGUACCACAAGAGGAAGAGACGGCUAACUCUGUGCCAGCAGCCGCGGUAAUACAGAGGUCUCAAGCGUUGUUCGGAAUUACUGGGCGUAAAGGGAGUGUAGGCGGAUAUGUAAGAUAGCGGUGAAAUGCCGGGGCUCAACCCCGGAACUGCCAUUAUGACUAUGUAUCUAGAGUAAUGGAGAGGAUAGCGGAAUACCCAGUGUAGAGGUGAAAUUCGUAGAUAUUGGGUAGAACACCGGUGGCGAAGGCGGCUAUCUGGCCAUUUACUGACGCUGAGGCUCGAAAGCAUGGGGAUCAAACAGGAUUAGAUACCCGGGUAGUC